AAGGCUCUGGUAGUGGUUGUUGUAGGUUUGGCAGUGGCGUUGGUGUUGUGUGGGAUUGGGAUCAUCUUCCUUGCCUGCACCAGAAGUAAAGAGCAAGUCUGUGAAAAUUGCAAAGCAGUAGGUGCCUCUCAGGUUGGCAGACAAGACAGAUUACAGGGAGAACAGGAUCAAGAUGGAGUUACAUUGAAUUAUGCUGCAUUGAAUUUCUCUGAGAGGAAAACUAAAAGAGGAAGAAAGAAGAGAGAGACACCACAGGAGAGUGUGUACUCUGAUGUCAGGUACUCAGACUGGGAGUGAACUUAGCUUAAUCAUUCUAAAAUGUAAUGUUAAUAAUACUUUUAUUCUUGUAAAUGUGUUAGUCAGUGCCCCUUCUACAAAGAUACUUAGAAAAUAUAUGACAAAUGUAA